AUUGAACGCUGGCGGCAUGCUUUACACAUGCAAGUCGAACGGUAACAGGCCGCAAGGUGCUGACGAGUGGCGAACGGGUGAGUAAUGCAUCGGAACGUGCCCAGUCGUGGGGGAUAACGCAGCAAAAGCUGCGCUAAUACCGCAUACGAUCUAUGAAUGAAAGCGGGGGACCGUAAGGCCUCGCGCGAUUGGAGCGGCCGAUGUCAGAUUAGGUAGUUGGUGGGGUAAAGGCUCACCAAGCCAACGAUCUGUAGCUGGUCUGAGAGGACGACCAGCCACACUGGGACUGAGACACGGCCCAGACUCCUACGGGAGGCAGCAGUGGGGAAUUUUGGACAAUGGGCGCAAGCCUGAUCCAGCAAUGCCGCGUGCAGGAAGAAGGCCUCGGGUUGUAAACUGCUUUUGUACGGAACGAAAAGGCUCUGGAUAAUACCUGGGGCUCAUGACGGUACCGUAAGAAUAAGCACCGGCUAACUACGUGCCAGCCGCCGCCGUAAUAC
rnacentral:rRNA from 1 species